GUGGAUAGAGUUGAAAUUUGUCAUAGCCUAAACAAGGGCAUGCUGGAUACUUGUGACGUCGUUUUAUCUGCUGUUAUAAUCUGAGUUUGUGACCUAUUAAGUUUUGAUGUCACUUAAUCAAUGCUUGAUCACCAACAUUUAGAAACUUGAUUAGCUACUACUUUGGAAUUAUCGUUUCAUUCUCUUGCUGGAUUUUUAUUUCAAUUAUUGUUAUCUCAACCCCACAGGUUUUGAGCUAUGAUGGUUUGC
rnacentral:misc_RNA from 1 species